GACGCACGCUGGCGGCGUGCUUAACACCUGCAAGUCGAACGGAGUGGCGACCGGGUGAGUAACACGUGGGUGACCUGCCCUGCACUUCGGGAUAAGCCUGGGAAACUGGGUCUAAUACCGGAUAGUGUGGGAUGGGCCCGCGGCCUAGCAGCUUGUGGGUGGGGUAAUGGCCUACCAAGGCGGCGACGGGUAGCCGGCCUGAGAGGGUGGACGGCCACAGUGGGACUGAGACACGGCACAGAAUCCGACGGGAGGCAGCAGUGGGGAAUAGUGCACAAUGGGAGGAAGCCUGAUGCAGCGACGCUGCGUGGGGGAUGACGGCCUUCGGGUUGUAAACUCCUUUCACCAUCGACGCGGUAGAUGGAGAAGAAGCACCGGCUAACUACGUGCCAGCAGCCGCGGUAAUAC
rnacentral:rRNA from 1 species